rnacentral:rRNA from 1 species
AUUGAACGCUGGCGGCAGGCCUAACACAUGCAAGUCGAACGGUAACAGGAAACGGCUUGCUGUUUCGCUGACGAGUGGCGGACGGGUGAGUAAUGUCUGGGAAACUGCCUGAUGGAGGGGGAUAACUACUGGAAACGGUAGCUAAUACCGCAUAACGUCGCAAGACCAAAGAGGGGGACCCUCGGGCCUCUUGCCAUCGGAUGUGCCCAGAUGGGAUUAGCUUGUUGGUGGGGUAACGGCUCACCAAGGCGACGAUCCCUAGCUGGUCUGAGAGGAUGACCAGCCACACUGGAACUGAGACACGGUCCAGACUCCUACGGGAGGCAGCAGUGGGGAAUAUUGCACAAUGGGCGCAAGCCUGAUGCAGCCAUGCCGCGUGUAUGAAGAAGGCCUUCGGGUUGUAAAGUACUUUCAGCGGGGAGGAAGGGAGUAAAGUUAAUACCUUUGCUCAUUGACGUUACCCGCAGAAGAAGCACCGGCUAACUCCGUG